rnacentral:rRNA from 1 species
GUAAGGAAUAUUGGACAAUGGCCGCAAGGCUGAUCCAGCCAUGCCGCGUGCAGGAAGACGGACCUAUGGUUUGUAAACUGCUUUUGAACUAGAGAAAACCCCCUUACGUGUAAGGGGCUGAUAGUAUAGUUAGAAUAAGCAUCGGCUAACUUCGUGCCAGCAGCCGCGGUAAGACGAAGGAUGCAAGCGUUAUCCGGAUUCAUUGGGUUUAAAGGGAGCGUAGGCGGACUGAUAAGUCAGUGGUGAAAUCUUUGGGCUUAACCCAGAAACUGCCAUUGAUACUGUUGGUCUAGAGUACAGUUGCCGUUGGCGGAAUAUGACAUGUAGUGGUGAAAUACUUAGAUAUGUCAUAGAACACCGAUUGCGAAGGCAGCUAACGAAGCUGUAACUGACGCUGAGGCUCGAAAGUGCGGGGAUCAAACAGGAUUAGAUACCCGUGUAGUCC